UACGGAGGAUGCAAGCGUUAUCCGGAAUGAUUGGGCGUAAAGCGUCCGCAGGUGGCAAUGUAAGUCUGCUGUCAAAGCGUCUGGCUCAACCAGAUAAAGGCAGUGGAAACUACAUAGCUAGAGUAAGGUAGGGGUAGAGGGAAUUCCUGGUGUAGCGGUGAAAUGCGUAGAGAUCAGGAAGAACACCGGUGGCGAAAGCGGCUCACUGGACCGGUUCUGACGCUGAGGCGCGAAAGCGUGGGGAGCAAACGGG
rnacentral:rRNA from 1 species